rnacentral:lncRNA from 1 species
UCCAGAACGUAUUGACAAAGCUGGGAAAAGAAAAAGGCUGUGAAAUUAUAAACAAAUGGAAAAAAGCAUGUGUAAAACAUUUUUACUGGUCAGUAACUUCAACUCCAGUAAAAACGGGAGCAGUUGUUGUAGUUUCAUGCAUUCCUAUUCCAUGUAAUCAACGAACACACCAAUCUACCAAAUAACCUGAUUAACAAGUGCAAUCAUGAAAAAUACAACAAACCACCAGUAUGGAUGAACAAACGACAUUACUGGCAGCUCUCCACUUUAACCAAAACUUGAGAAGAUAGAGCAAAAUUGAUAAUCAUGGUAAUCCUAAACUCCGAAUAGUCUACCCGAAGUUCAAAGAUGGACAGGCCACGGUCAGAGAAGUGAAGGUGUUACCCAAUUAUGAUUAUGUCAGCGAAUUAUUUGGAAAACUGAUGUCCAUCUCUCGACAAGAACUCAAAACUAUAGAGAAAGAGCUAGAUGAUGAUACCCCUGAACCCAUGCAUACUAUGUUGGAUAAACAAGAUGAGAAAGAUGCCAUUCUCAAGUACAAAUAGAGAAAGAACAAAGAAAUCCCCAUCUGUCCACCAACAUGCACAGAUGAAGAACUUGAACAGUUAACAAGACCAAGGAACAAUACAACAAACUCUACAUCUUCAAGAAAGGCUCCAUGCUGCAGAAAUUGUGGGCAACCUACUAAAGGCCAUCCCAAGAAAAAGAAUGCAAUUUUCCAGUGUCCCACACUGAGUUAACCUGGAGUAAUUUCAGUGUUUGUUCUUAUUUUUUAUGGUCAAGCUAAUAUUGGGGUAUUAGGUAGUCCCCUGUGACUCUUUGGUUUUUAUUACUAGUAAUUAUGGAUUAUUUAAAAUGAAGAUUUAUAAAGUCAGGGCCGCAGCAACCUGUAUGGUUGGUGCGGUUAUAACUGGGCCGUGUUCACAACUACAACUACUUUCCCUCUUAAGGAAAAUAUUUAUUAUCCGAGAAAACUGGACCGAUUUAUAAGAAACCGGACCAAUCAAAAGGUUGUGGCUACAGCCCUGAACGUGCAGCAAAUGUAUCGAGAAUACAUGCUAGUAGUAGUUAUUAUUAUAAAAAUAUAGAUAUAAAUAUAAAUAAAUAUUAGAAUGAAAAUAUGAC